ACCACGUACGGGAAGUCGGAGGGGAAAAUCAGCUGGGAUCCGCGGAAAUCAUCAACAGCACUAUUUUCCUUUACUUAGCUAGCUAUCCAUCUGUCAGAUUUAAUUCCUCCUUCCCUUCCUUCUUGCUGCUAAAACGCCACCCUGGCGAUGUCGGAGUCUUACGAUUUCCUGUUUAAAUUCCUGGUGAUCGGGAAUGCUGGAACGGGUAAAUCCUGUCUGCUGCACCAGUUCAUCGAGAAGAGAUUUAAGGAUGAAUCCAACCACACGAUUGGAGUGGAGUUUGGCUCUAAGAUCAUCAAUGUGGUCAACAAAAUGGUCAAACUGCAGAUUUGGGACACUGCAGGACAAGAACGGUUCAGGUCUGUGACUAGGAGCUACUACAGAGGAGCAGCAGGAGCUCUCCUGGUCUAUGACAUCACCAGUCGGGAGACAUACAACGCUCUGACCACGUGGCUGAGUGACGCCAGGAUGCUGGCUAGUCAGAACAUCGUCAUCAUAUUAUGUGGAAACAAGAAGGACUUGGACGCAGACAGAGAGGUCACGUUCCUGGAGGCUUCCCGCUUCGCUCAGGAGAACGAGCUGAUGUUCUUGGAGACCAGCGCUCUAACAGGGGAGAACGUUGAGGAGGCCUUUGUCCAGUGCGCUCGCAAAAUCCUCAACAAGAUAGAGUCGGGCGAGCUGGAUCCAGAGAGGAUGGGUUCAGGCAUCCAGUACGGCGACGCUGCGUUACGACAGCUCCGUUCACCUCGUCGAGCUCAGCCACAGGGCACCCAGGAGUGUGGCUGCUAGUGGACACGCCCAGUAACACACACACGGUGAGAGGGACGGUGUGUCCACACUGUGUGCACUUGUGUUUCAGACGGUUUGUGAGACCAGCAGAAGAACAGCCACGGGGACCCAGGGUUCAGGUUGCUAUGGUGGUGACUCCUCUCUGACCUUUGACCUUUCGCACGGAACCUUCGGACCCUUUUUGAACCUUCGUUGUCAUGGCUGCACCUCCCAGCCACUCGCCCUCUCAGAACUCUGAGCAUCUCCGCGGUAACCAGAGGCUGCCCCCCUCCACCAUGCUGCUGCACUAUUGGACCAAACCUCCGUCAGGAUGUCAAUCACUCUCUUUCUGCUCAUGUCCCCUCACACCUACUCACCUCUAUAGUUUAGCUUUCUUCUGGAAUACUUAAGGGAAAGUUUACAUUUUGGAAAAUGUUUUUUCUUUUGCAUUUGAGUUAAACAAACAAGAUCUAGCAUGUUUAUUAGCUUUAAAGGCAUUUUUAAUCCUCCCCGUCCUUCUGGUUUCCAUAACAGGCUAAGCUAAUAGCAUCCUGAGUCCAGGCUGAUACUUGAUACAUAGACAUGAGGUAUCAAUAUUUUCAUCUUAAACAACUGUUCCUUUGAAGGUGGAGUCUGCGAUUCUGGAGAAAAAUGAGUAUUUGAAUUCCCAAAUCUCCUGUCAGUGGUCCUUUAGAACAUUAGCAUGUUCCACUUUACCAUUUCAUCCCUCCAUGGCUUCCUGCUGCCCUGUGCAGGAGCUAGUAGUGUCACAUCAGGGCCACUGCUGAACACUGGUGGUAUCAACACUGGAUUUUUUUUUCAGUGAACGUGCAAGUGUAUUGGAUCAGAAUCGUAGACAUAUAUAUAUAUUUUUUAAACCCUGCUAGUUAACUUCCUGCUCACCUGUUUUAAACGUCCCUCUAACAGUUUACAGACUAGCCAUUCAUUUAGCACUUUGUGUAUCUCUUAGUACACACUUUGUGUACUAGUAAAGUUCCCCCAGGCAAUGCAGCUGCCCAGUGACACUACAUCAGCCUCCCUGUCUUACCCAUCAUGCUCUCUGCUUCUCUCCCUGCAGCAUCUAAUACACUGUACAGUGUUUCUGUAUAUAGAGACUGACGCAUGUUUUCUCAAACAGAAUAUCAGAGUAUUUCAUUAUGAAGAGAUAUUAUAUGUAUAUUAAAGUAGAUGUCAUAUCCAGCAUCUGUUUUAACGGCCCACAGUGUUAUUAUCAUGUUAAGCUACUUGUCAGCAGUAUGGAUGGCCAUUACUGUUUGCAGCAAUGAUGUUUAUGUGUAAAUGGGAUUACAUUAUGGACUAACAUGGUUAUGUGCUGUUUAAUCAUAGUUCAUAGAUUGAAACAGAAAUACAUUUGGUUUGGUAAUUUAAAUCAUUUUGAGUGUAAAAGUUACAUUUCAACUUUUGACUGAGCAUUUAGUGAAAUGACUUCUAAUAAUGAUGUGACACAGAGGAUUCCACUUGUGACUGAUCCCUGUCAUCUAUAAAUGAUGAUGUUUACAUGGAUACCUCAGUGGCUGCUGCAGCCGUGGGCCAAUACUAACUGAAUGCAUUUCAACUUUUAGGAAUGGGAGGAAAGUGUCUGAUGUGUGUUUGAUGUUUAUUUGUCUCCAAAGAUACUUUAGUUCAGCCACAUGAAGCUCUCGACAGAAAACACUUGAACUUGGGAGUUUUGUGGACAUUUAGAGGUGUGUUUUGCAUAUGUGCAUUUAAGCAUUACAAGCAUUUUUUUUGUUUUUGCCCCAUGACUAUUAUGCAUUGAAUUUUUAAAUCAAGCACACUUCAAACUGUAGAAAUAUAUGUUUUAUGUGGUAGUGGCUUCAGCCGCUCCACAUCAGGUUGCCGUCUUGUGUUUGUGUCAAGUCCUUUGUUCAGUUUUUCUCGUCAUUAUGCAUAUCAUGGAUUUUUAAUUUAUUGUGUAUGAUAAAAGCAUAUGUUUUUAAAAUAAAAACUACAACAGAUA